GGACUACACGGGUUUCUAAUCCUGUUUGCUACCCACGCUUUCGUGUCUCAGCGUCAGUUACGGUCCAGAAAGCCGUCUACACCACCGGUGUUCCUCCUGAUAUCUACGCAUUUCACCGCUACACCAGGAAUUCCACUUUCCUCUCCCGCACUCUAGUCAUUCAGUAUUCGGCGCACCCUCCCAGUUGAGCCGGGAGAUUUCACACCAAACUUAAACAACCGCCUACACACCCUUUACGCCCAGUAACUCCGAACAACGCUUGCUGCCUACGUAUUACCGCGGCUGCUGGCAC
rnacentral:rRNA from 1 species